AACUCGCCGGGGCUGGCGGCGGCGCCAUUUUGAAUCGGCCGAGGGUCGGAGGCGGCGGCUGCCGAGCUGGGAUCCGCGUCACCCGAGCGAGAACCGGCGAGGAAGGAGCGGAUAUGGCCGCGAAUAGGAACUUGAAGCAAGUGCGGAUCGAGAAUAGCUCCCCAGCGGCGCCGCUGGGCAUGGUGGGGGGUGGCGGCGGCGGCGGCGGCAACCUGAAAGGAUUGCGGGGCCUAGAAACGGAGAGUGAGGCGGCGGCGGCCAUGGCGCUGGCGCCGAGCAAAGAAGGUGGCGGAGAUGAGGAGCAGGAGGGUGGCUUCACCAUCGAUAUCAAGAGCUUUCUCAAACCUGGAGAGAAGAGCUACACUCAGCGCUGCCGGCUGUUCGUGGGGAAUCUGCCUACGGAUAUCACCGAGGAGGAUUUCAAGCGCCUCUUCGAGCGCUACGGGGAGCCCAGCGAGGUCUUCAUCAAUCGGGACCGUGGCUUCGGCUUCAUCCGCCUGGAAUCUAGGACCCUGGCUGAAAUAGCGAAGGCAGAACUUGAUGGUACUAUUUUGAAGAGCAGACCGCUUCGAAUUCGAUUUGCUACACAUGGAGCUGCCUUAACUGUCAAGAAUCUUUCACCUGUGGUUUCUAAUGAGCUGCUGGAACAAGCAUUCUCUCAAUUCGGGCCAGUGGAAAGAGCGGUUGUUGUAGUAGAUGAUCGUGGCAGAGCUACAGGAAAAGGUUUCGUAGAGUUUGCAGCAAAACCUCCAGCACGAAAAGCUCUAGAAAGAUGCAGCGAUGGGGCAUUCUUGCUAACAACAACACCUCGACCUGUUGUUGUAGAACCAAUGGAGCAAUUUGAUGAUGAAGAUGGACUCCCAGAGAAGCUAAUGCAAAAAACACAACAGUACCACAAGGAAAGAGAACAACCUCCACGUUUUGCUCAGCCUGGAACGUUUGAGUUUGAGUAUGCUUCACGGUGGAAGGCUCUUGAUGAGAUGGAAAAGCAACAGCGUGAACAGGUCGACAGGAACAUUAGAGAAGCCAAAGAGAAACUAGAGGCAGAAAUGGAAGCAGCUAGGCAUGAGCAUCAGUUAAUGCUGAUGAGGCAAGAUCUCAUGCGUCGCCAAGAAGAAUUGAGGCGUUUGGAAGAACUUCGAAAUCAAGAACUUCAAAAACGCAAGCAGAUACAAUUGAGACAUGAAGAAGAACACAGACGUCGUGAAGAAGAGAUGCUACGUCAGAGGGAACAGGAGGAAUUACGACGUCAGCAGGAAGGAGGAUUUAAGCCAAAUUUCAUGGACAAUAGAGAACAGGAAAUGAGAAUGGGUGAUAUGGGUCCUCGUGGAGCAAUUAACAUGGGAGAUGCGUUUAGCCCAGCACCUGCUGGUAACCAAGGCCCUCCUCCAAUGAUGGGUAUGAAUAUGAACAACAGAGGAACUUUACCUGGCCCUGCAAUGGGUCCUGGUCCUUCCAUGGGACCAGAAGGAGCUGCAAAUAUGGGAACACCAAUGAUGCCAGAUAAUGGAACAGUGGUUACUAUUAAAAUCUUAAAAUGCUGAUGAAGACUGCCUUGUGCAGAAUCCUCGUGUAUCUUAAGCACACGAAAGAGAAUCAUAAACCAAGUUUUAGUACAAGGUUUCAAUGAAAGCUGCUGGUGGCUGCACACCCUGAGAAGGUGGCUUUCUGCUAUACAGUGAUGAUGUGAAAAAUGCUGCUCUUCACCUCAGAGUUACAAGGACCGUCAGCGGUGAGAAUUGUGGUGUCACCUGCUAGAGCACUUAACAGUGGCUGUGACUUUUGUGAUGACUGGGCUGUCCUGUGAGACCUGAGAAAAAAGGGCUGUUUGAAACGAUAGGAAGGGACUCAGCCUGGAGGUGGUGCGUCCUCACCAAUGUCCCAGCUUGGAAAAGACACAUUGGAAGAACGUGAAUACAAUGUCUGUUUGUGGGGGUCCAGAGACUUCUUCCUGUAUGAGGAUAGGAAUUAUGACUUUUGUGACAUCACUGUCUUCAGCCUCUGGCACAGACGGUGGUACCCAGGGAGAAGCCAAGUCCAGCAUUUCAUAGGAAAGCUGAUGUUGGCCAACUUUGAUGGGUAACUGAGGUACCGACACUCUAUCUAAACUGCACUGGAAGCAGAUUCUCUUUCUAGAAAUAGUGCUAAGGAAACAGUGUUUGAUAAAAGGAUUAAAGGUUGUACAUGCUACAAAAAGAAUCAGAGUAAAUGAUAUAUUAAAAGACUGCUGCUUGGUUUCAGUUAUUGCUUUUGGACUAAAAAAAAGCCUUAAGAGUUAAAUGAAUAAGAAAAUACUUUCAGGCCCUAAAAUACAUGACAAAAAAUAGGAAAGGGGUGGGAGUUAAAAAAAAACCAGUAGUGUGGAUUGGAUUUAUGCUGCAGUAGUUUUGAAAAACACAGAAGUAUUAAUUACCAAGAGAAAAAUGAUCUGAGCCAGUGACAGCUGAAAAGAACUGGAAGGAAAUAACAUUGGGGUUAUUAAGCAUAGGGGAGACCACAGGUGCAGUAAGCUUUCCGUUGAGGUCUGUCCAGUUGAGGUGGAAAUUAUGCUGCAACUGCCUGCUGUCUUAAUGUAGCCCAAUAAAAAUUUGAAAACCCAUGAAUGAAUAAUGAAAAAUUAAUUUUUAUGUGAUGCGAUUAACAUUGGCCUGUAAUGUAUCACCAGGGGUUUUUUCAGUGUUUCUGUAGCUAUUGUUAAAAUUGUUUCAAAUUAAAUAACAGGAUGUUUACUUUCUGUUUCUUGAAAUCAACAAGGCAGUGAACAUGAAUUGAAGGCUGGAGAGGAACCUCACCCGGUUCAAAAAAGGCAAAUGCAGAGUCUGCAGUGGGAACUGAAUUAAAGCAGUUUUUUAUCCUGAGCACAGACUGUUUGCGAAGUAGCUUUGCAGAGGUUGAUCUGGGGCCCUAAAGGACGAGUGAAGAUGAAGGUGUCCAACCACAUUCUAGCUCCCAUUAGAAGAGCACAGCUGAGCAAGGGCCAGGAGAGCAGUCUGUCCUCUCUGUUCAGCAGGUCUGAGACUGCAGCUGGAACACUGUACACUGUGACCAGUUCUGGGCUCCUGAAGACAAGAUAUAUUGGGAACAAGUCCUGUGGAGGCCAGUGGGAUGACCAGAAGUUUGGAGCACAGGAGCUACGGGGCUGGACAGCAGGGUUUGUUCUGGCUGGAGAACAGGAGGUGGCAGGGCCUAGGAGAUAUUCUUAAUCCAGCUGUGUAACAGAAGGGGGUAGGGACGAUGGAGCCAGACUCAUUUUAGUGGUGCACAGCAGUGUUUCAGAGUAUGGAAGUGUUGCAUCACACUGCUUAUAGAAACAGUGCAGGUCAGUACUGUGUUGCUGUACUUACUUGGACUCCCUGCACUGUGAAACCAUUGGGGGUUUUCUGGGAAUCAUUUUGUUUCAGGAAGGAUGCAUGCAAGGGACGUGGUCUGUGGGGUUCUCUUGUGGUUUCAGGUAUCUUGAUUAUGCUCUUCAUAGAAAGAACUAUUCCAAUAUUGACACAAUAGAUGUGACAGAUGCAGGAAAGUAAGGGACCUUUCAAAGCUUUUAAAUGUCCUGUGCAAGCUUUUCCAGAGGGAUUGUCUCAUCCAGCUUUGUAAAGCCUUUUUGAAAAAAAAACUCUGUAUGUCAGCACAGCCUUUACAGGCUGGGGCUCUGCUGUUACUGCUUGGGGCUGGGAGAGCAGCUUUUCUCCCAUAUGGAUGAUUGUGUUCAGUGUAAGACAUGCAACUGCUGUUAACAGGCCUAACUGGGCUUUUCUUCCCCAAAAUUAAAGAUCCUUUUUAAACCUUAA